GAUUUCUGGUUUGGUGCGCGCGGUCCGCUGCGGUUUCGUAGCGUGUGCUGUUGUGCGCCUGCCAUCGUUUGAGGCAGAGGCGUGCUCUUAACUGGGUGCGUCUUUAUCUCAAUCUUUUACUUUGAAAAAAUUAGAGUGUUCAAAGCAGGCUUGCGCUAUGAAUACAUUAGCAUGGAAUAAUAAUAUAGGACUUCUGUUCUAUUUUGUUGGUUUCUAGGAUGGAAGUAAUGAUUGAUAGGGACAGUUGGGGGUGCUAGUAUUCAGAGGCCAGAGGUGAAAUUCUUGGAUUCUCUGAAGACUAACUUAUGCGAAAGCAUU
rnacentral:rRNA from 1 species